rnacentral:rRNA from 1 species
GAUGAACGCUGGCGGCGUGCCUAAUACAUGCAAGUCGAGCGAACAGACGAGGAGCUUGCUCCUCUGACGUUAGCGGCGGACGGGUGAGUAACACGUGGAUAACCUACCUAUAAGACUGGGAUAACUUCGGGAAACCGGAGCUAAUACCGGAUAACAUGUUGAACCACAUGGUUCAACAGUGAAAGACGGUCUUGCUGUCACUUAUAGAUGGAUCCGCGCCGCAUUAGCUAGUUGGUAAGGUAACGGCUUACCAAGGCAACGAUGCGUAGCCGACCUGAGAGGGUGAUCGGCCACACUGGAACUGAGACACGGUCCAGACUCCUACGGGAGGCAGCAGUAGGGAAUCUUCCGCAAUGGGCGAAAGCCUGACGGAGCAACGCCGCGUGAGUGAAGAAGGUCUUCGGAUCGUAAAACUCUGUUAUGAGGGAAGAACAAAUGUGUAAGUAACUAUGCACGUCUUGACGGUACCUAAUCAGAAAGCCACGGCUAACUACGUG